rnacentral:lncRNA from 1 species
CUCUAGUUUGCCAGUGCAUUCAGUCUCAAUUGAGAAUUUUUCCCCUUCUUUCAAAUCAGGAGUUGAACAAUGUAGGAAAAAACUAAUUUAAAAUUUGGGACUGUAACAUUUUCUUUUCCAAUGUUUUGUCACUGGGACUGAACAUGUGAAUGGUAAUGAAUCACUCAAGCUUUCCAAGUGUCCUGGAGCCUUUCUGGAAGGAUUAAAAUGAAAAUAAUGUCAUGCAUGAUCAUGUGAUCCUGGGGACAGAGAAGAGUAGUAAGGAAAGAUGAUCCAGUGGGCAUGAAGUUUUGUUUAAAAAUGAAUUCAUCCAUUAUGGAUAUUUGAUUACUAAUAAAAAUGCAGA